GUUGUCAUGGUUUGAAUUUUGAAUAUUAUGUAUGGGUUUCUCUUCUUGGAAGGUAUUAAUUUAAUUACUAUUCCUGGAGAUGAUUGAAGGUCCUCUUUGUUUUCCAGCUUGGAGACACCAGUUCGUUAUUUAGUCGUUUAUAUGAACUUAUAAGUCUUGGAUAUACUUUAUUAUUUGCUUACCAAUUUCAUGAUGCAGUAUCUCAGGUCCUGGUACAUUUAGAUUUUGUAGAACUACAUGGAACUAAUGAUAUGCAACAGGUGAUGCCAAGGAUACAUUGAAGUUACCAAAACUUUGUAGCUCAUCUGGGAAAGUUUAUCUAGUAAUUGGAAUCGACCGUUCUUGAAAGAUGUAGUCAUGCCAAUCUAUUAUCUCUUUAAGAGUUUGUACGUGUAAAUUAUAUGUAAAUGGGUCAGUAAAAGCCUGAGAGGGAUGCAAUAAUCUCUGGGAAGCAGGUAUGUAUAUCCAGGUAAAUUCCUUCCCUUAGAUUUACACCACAUUUACAGUUGUAGGUAUGUUUUCCUUUUCAUUUAGAUUCUUGAAUUCUAUCCAUAUACCUUGUUGGGGCUUUUGUGUUUGCAUAGAUGAUCAGGCUUUAUGAAUUAGCCGACUUCUUUUCACUUGCACAAUUAACUGAGCAUGGUCUAUCUAUGUUUGAAAUUUUCAAGUCAUGGUGACUUUAUUGAAAGGAAAUUAAGGAUGACAGAAUGUGAUAUGAAUGAAAGGCAGCAAGUUAAUUGUUUACUGAGUUGAAUCUGGUUAGGCCUGGGAAAAAUUAAGUAGGGAUUGUGUCUCCCUUGGGUGAAAGACCCUAAACCUGAGUGGGGCUCGUGGAUUCGAGCGGAUAAUUAAGUAGGGAUUGUGCCUCCCUAGGGUGAAAGACCCAAAACCCAAUUGGGAAUCUGCUUAGUACGGGGUGUCCUCGGUGGCCUUAAUCUGAGGUUCCGCUUAGUACGGGAUUCUCGAUGACCUUAAUUCGAGAGAUUUUGGGCCUAACCAGGGGGAAGAGGAAAUAAAAUUGUUACUUGACAAAUUUGAAAGGAAUAUGGUGAAUAAAUGUUAUAAAUGCAGACUUGGGGAAUUCAUUUGCUUAUUUGCUGAUC